GACGUAGGGCGCGAGCGUUGUCCGGAUUUAUUGGGCGUAAAGAGCUCGUAGGCGGCUUGUCGCGUCGUCCGUGAAAACUUGGGGCUCAACCCCAAGCUUGCGGUCGAUACGGGCAGGCUAGAGUUCGGUAGGGGAGACUGGAAUUCCUGGUGUAGCGGUGAAAUGCGCAGAUAUCAGGAGGAACACCGGUGGCGAAGGCGGGUCUCUGGGCCGAUACUGACGCUCAUGCACGAAAGCGUGGGGAGCAAACAGG
rnacentral:rRNA from 1 species